GCUCCGAAAGCUGGUGGCAGCUGAUCAGAUCGAUGCUGCCUCAUUCCUCGGGGAGACUCGUACACAAACUCCAGUCAAUGCCUACGAGUAUGUCUCAAUUUUAGAGCUAUACACGUAUGACACGCUGCCAGAAGUGGCAAAUCAACGCUCCAGUGGCGACCCACAUUGGCCAUCGCAUCGCAUCGCACCGACAGCUCGUCAUCUCGAUGAUGUUCGGGGAUCGUGAAGAAGCAAAGCGAAAUGAAGACAGAGAGACCCAUCAUCGAUACCCUCCUUAGCAUUAGCACGGUUUCAGCACAUUCGCAGCAGCCCCAUCUCCGCGUCCAUCUCCAUCUCGAUCUGGCAACUGGCAUUUGGCAUCGAUAACUUAAUUCCAUCGAUGGCUGUGCAACGCGAUGCUUCUAACCCAAUUCACGGGCCAUGCAAAGUUUUUCUGGCAUCUGAUUGAACCGACCGAGUGCUGGAACUGGAUGUGGAUCUGGAUCUGGAUCUACUCUCCCCUGGCUGCUGCAACAUACAUUCGAGGUUUAGCCCGUUCACGAGGCUGCUUCUCUGCUCUGACAUUUGUCAGCUGCCAGUUGACGGAACUUUUGGCCCGGAGUCAAACCACCCAUAUGGUAGCCGAGUGCUGCUCCAUCUCUUUCGGCUCUCAGGUGACCCUAAUUACCUCCAAAGCAUGCAUGCAUUAGAGACGAGACAAAGCGCCGGGUAUUAUACUCGCCCAAUAUUAACAGUGUGCAGCAAAUUGAAGGACUGAAUCUAAGG